ensembl:lncRNA
GUAAUGAAGUACAGGCACAGGAAUAAUAGUGCUUCGUUCCAGCUAACACUUCUGAUGGUGGUUCCUCCACCAACUCUGCUCCAGAAGCAUGAGGUCUCUCUCUGUUGCCAGUAUCAAACAGAGAAUCACAGACAAGAGAUGAAAGACUACAGUGAAAUCUGAAGUGAUGUUCAUCUAGACAAAAUAACAUCUGAAACUGGAUUACGAAACAAAAGUAACAUAGAGCACUUAUUACUUGAAAAAUGAAACAAAAGGGCUGGCAAGGCAGCAACAUGGAACUCACCACAUGCAGAACACAAGAAGACAUGGAACAACAAUGAUCGACGAAUGUGGGGAGCAGAGGGGAAACAUUGAAACACUUCCAAACGAUGUGAUAGGGACCUGGUGUGCAUGAUUAAAGACAUGACACAAAACAAGUCCGGGAUGUGUUCAUAAGUGAUGGGAAGUGAGAGUGCACGGAACGGUGGUGUUGCUGCUCACCGUACCGUGACAGUACCCCCCCCCCCCAAAGGCCCGGCCACCGGACGGGCCAACACAAACCCCGGCCCAAGGGAUGGGGGGGGAGGGGGCAGUACAGGACCCCCACCGGCACAAACCCGCCGAGGGGUCAGAACAAUGUUCAAUGUAAUGUCUUACAUUGAACUGAAACAAUAUCUCGAAAUACAUCAAUCUCAAUCCUGCAUCUGUCAUAAUGCCUGGUGACACACUGGUUAUGUAAUGGGAAAUCCCCAUAGGAGUAUUUUAGAGCUGAGAUUUGUAAUACUAUCAAAGCCUGUUGCAUUAAAUCCUGCCUGGUAACAGAUUACUUCACUGUUGGUUAGUUUGAAUGCUGGAUACUGUUGAUACUGUUGAAUAAAAUACUAUUUACUGUAUGGUAUGUCAGUAUUGGACCCACUCAGACCUAUAGAAUAUUCCCUCUUUAAAUGUUGUUACACUAGCUCAGACAAUGUACAUUUGGGAAAAAAGAGAAACUGACAAAUUCAUACCAAUAAUUGAAGUGCCUUAUUAUAAAAUGCAGAGAUACAAAUUCCUCAGAUAACACAAAUCUAGUGUUUGUAAAAGUGUACUUGUACCAUGAACUUUCAUACUGAGGAGGUUGUUUAUGGUACAAUGCUAAAUGGAAGAUACCUGGUAAAACACUGCUGACUGGUUUGAUGCAUGUAUUUGCAUCAUAGCAUCAAGUCAUUGCAUGGCAUAUGUAUGCUAAAUAAAACAACAGAAUUUUACAAAUCUCAAAAUGAUUCAC